GUUACAGUGUGGCCAUACCACGUGGUUUGUGACGUCAUUUUUGCUAGCACGCUAAGAAGAAAUUUGUCAACAUUGGCCCCGCUUAGAAAUUUCAAAUCCACAUACACAUGAUGACGACCGAAGAGCGAUAUAUUUGUGCCACAUGCGCCAGAGGGUACAAGCACAGGUUUACCAUGAAAGAACACACGCUGAGAUGUUACCCUUUAACUGUUGCGGCGUUGGGUUUUCAUCAAGACGACAAUUACAAAGACACAGGUGCAAUGUACACGGUGACGGAAAAACUAUCUUUGCCUUUAUUGUGGAAAAGAAUUCGCAACGAAAGUAGAUUUAGAUGCCCACUCGGCCCGGGAACAGCGCACUCGAGAGAUCGAGUGCGAGAUAUGCAACCACAAGGCCACAACACGGGCUCAUCUCCGAUAACAUCUCAAAACACACAGCGAGGAAAAAACACACGUUUGCCAUGUGUGCAAAGCCGCCUAUAAACACAUAAGUUCACUGUAUAGGCACUAUGGGCAAAAGCACAAAUGACGUCUAUACAGUGGUUUUACCUGUUUGUGAUUUAUUUGUGAUUUACCCGUGAUUUAUUUUUUAUUUAUCCGUGAUUGAAUUGUUGCGAUAAAAGCAUAAUCAAUAGAUCUCAAGUAUAAUUAACAUUUGAACCGUAUCUGUUUAUACCACGAUGUUUACUUGUUGCGUUUUUUUAACUUUUUAUUGUUUUUUUUAUGUUUUGUUAAUGCUACUGUUAUAUUAUAGCAGUUGUGAUUUGUAUUGUGAUUAAAAUGUAAUUUUAUAAUUGUGAUUAAUGCUUUAUAAUCAGAUCUCAAGCAUAAUUAACAUUUGAAUCGUAAGUGUUUUUACCACGAUGUUAACUUGUUGCGUUUCUUUUCUUUGUAUUGUAUUUUAUUAUUUUGUUAACGCUACUGUUAUAUUAUAGCAAUUGUGAUUUAGAUUGUGAUUUACAUGUGAUUC